rnacentral:rRNA from 1 species
UACGAAGGGGGCAAGCGUUGUUCGAAAUUACUGGGCGUAAAGGGCGCGUAGGCGGCUUACCAAGUCAGGCGUGAAAUUCCCGGGCUCAACCUGGGGGCUGCGCUUGAUACUGGUGAGCUUGAAUGCGGGAGAGGAUAGUGGAAUUCCCAGUGUAGAGGUGAAAUUCGUAGAUAUUGGGAAGAACACCGGUGGCGAAGGCGGCUAUCUGGCCCGUAAUUGACGCUGAGGCGCGAAAGCGUGGGGAGCAAACAGG